ensembl:lncRNA
AACAUGUAGGAUCAGGUGUCAGAUAACAUGUAGGAUCAGGUGUCAGAUAACAUGCAGGAUCAGGUGUCAGAUAACAUGUAGGAUCAGGUGUCAGAUAACGUGUAGAAUCAGGUGUCAGAUAACGUGUAGAAUCAGGUGUCAGAUAACGUGUAGAAUCAGGUGUCAGAUAACAUGUAGGAUCAGGUGUCACGUAACGUGUAGGAUCAGGUGUCACGUAACGUGUAGGAUCAGGUGUCAGAUAACAUGCAGGAUCAGGUGUCAGAUAACAUGUAGGAUCAGGUGUCACGUAACGUGUAGGAUCAGGUGUCACGUAACGUGUAGGAUCAGGUGUCAGAUAACAUGCAGGAUCAGGUGUCAGAUAACAUGUAGGAUCAGG